GGUACCUACGGGGAAGGACAGGACUGUGAACAAACCAGACAUCAGCAGACCUUCUAUUUCCCUUGUUAAAAAGGUCAGAAGUGGUUUGAUGAAUGAGACAAGAGCACCAUGGAGAGACAGUAAUGGUCAGGUGGCUGAGACAACAGGACUGCCACAGACAGUCAGAUGCUGUUCCCAUUUCUGUUACAGGGCUUAUUUCUUGUGUUAAGUCACCCAGACCGAGGCAGCUACACAGAGCAGAUGGUAGCAGCUCAAAACAUGCCUGAGAGGGGCUCUUCUGAAAUGCCUUUGAUACCCAGUAAGAAGGCAGUGCACUGAAAUCAGCAGCUGAGGAUUCUCCGUACAGUAUCAUUUUCUUGGGAAAAAAAAAAAAAAAAAGUCUUAGAACUACAACUCAGACAAAUUAUUCUUGAGCUACUGCAUGUCUCCUUUGAAUUGCAAGGGAAAUGGCCCAAGAAGCAGCUUCCCUACUUCAGACAUCCACAUCCAAGCUGAAGAGACAAGGAGGCAGACAAUGAAAACCAAGAAGAAAAGGUUGUGGCACUCGGGAUGUGGGAUCGGAGAAAGGCUGAUGCUUCAUCCUGGAAGUCUCACUGAAGCAGGAAAGUGGUGAAUCUGAAAGUAGUAACGUGCUACCAGUUUUGAAGUCCUAACAGCCUAUUCCUGAAUUCUCAUCACCUGUUCUGUGCUGCAGCUCUAGAAACCACAACGGUAUACAGACCAUGCAAUCAAGCAAUGAAGGAAGCUUAUACCUAUGAAAUAAAUAUUAAUUUGUUUUCA
rnacentral:lncRNA from 1 species